UCAAUGUAAACACGGUACGCGUACUUACCGCGUUUGCGCGAAACUCUCUUCCUGGAACCAGCUGAAGUAAUAGGUAUCGAUUGCAUAUAUUGCACCGCGGCAGCCGGCAAAGUACGACCAGAAUGACGUUUUCGGUCGGUACUGCGCCGCGUGGGAACUUUCCAGAAUGUUUUGAUGCAUCACAAGACGUAUACUCGUUUGUGUGUUGCUGACUCCGGGAAUAAUAUUCUUUGGCAGUGCGUUCUCCGUAACUAGUCUCAUUUCACAAACGUUUGAAAUUUGUUUAACUUUAACUACAGUGCAAUAAGCUACAGUCUCAACUUGCAAAUAGCCUUUAUUCGAACUUGGAACAGUUCUUAUUACCUUGGAAUAUCGGUUGAAAAGAAAUCAAUCACAAUGGACCGGGAUGCACGAGUUAAUAUCAACGAGCGGGACGAUUUACGCCGCGCCUCCACAACAUCGGAGGAGAGCUUCUGGGAUCAUCCCAUCCAGUCUAUCCGGGAGACCAUCGGUCACGCAAUGGACGCCGUGAUGCCGCAUAUGGAUCGUGGGGAGCGUCCGAACGACGAAGAAGCAGCAUCACCCGACGAAAACAUCAGCGUGGUUAUGACGUAAUUGUAUGGGACACCAACGACGCUAAUGUGUGAUGUACAGAUAAAUAGCAUUCGGUGUGAUUAUGCGGGGUUAAUUCAUUUUGCUUUAAUUCAGUAAUACUUGCACGUCAAUGCUGUUCUGGACCUUACGGUUAGAAGUUUUCGGGAUACGGAAAUGUAUCAGUGUACAGUUGCUGCAUAUUGCAGAAUUUUUGUCUUUUCCUCGGUGGUGCGUACCAUUCAGCGUGCAUUGGUUUUAUUAUGGUAAAUUACCAAAAUAAAUUCCAAAAAAUCUGCAA